rnacentral:rRNA from 1 species
AGUGAACGCUGGCGGUAGGCCUAACACAUGCAAGUCGAACGGCAGCACAGUAAGAGCUUGCUCUUACGGGUGGCGAGUGGCGGACGGGUGAGGAAUACAUCGGAAUCUACUUUUUCGUGGGGGAUAACGUAGGGAAACUUACGCUAAUACCGCAUACGACCUACGGGUGAAAGCAGGGGAUCUUCGGACCUUGCGCGAUUGAAUGAGCCGAUGUCGGAUUAGCUAGUUGGCGGGGUAAAGGCCCACCAAGGCGACGAUCCGCAGCUGGUCUGAGAGGAUGAUCAGCCACACUGGAAGUGAGACACGGUCCAGACUCCUACGGGAGGCAGCAGUGGGGAAUAUUGGACAAUGGGCGCAAGCCUGAUCCAGCCAUACCGCGUGGGUGAAGAAGGCCUUCGGGUUGUAAAGCCCUUUUGUUGGGAAAGAAAAGCAGCAGGUUAAUACCCCGCUGUUCUGACGGUACCCAAAGAAUAAGCACCGGCUAACUUCGUG